GGCGCUCCCCCUGCUCUCUCCUGUCAAAACGCACCUGUCAAAACUUGAAUGUAAUUUUUGUACACACUAUAAUUUGUGUUGGCAAUUUGAAAACAUCAUAUCUGGACCAUGGAGCUGUAAAAAGUCAUUUGAAAAACUGCAGAGCAAGCUACACAGGCAGGACCUUGAGGCAGCCCGCUGGCAGAGUGUGACAACCCAGCUCCGUCGUGAGUUAGAGCCUUCGAGUGGGACAUGGAGGACCUUGAGGCAGCCCGCUGGCAGAGUGUGACAACCCAGCUCCGUCGUGAGUUAGAGCCUUCGAGUGGGACAUGGAGGACCUUGAGGCAGCCCGCUGGCAGAGUGUGACAACCCAGCUUCGUCGUGAGUUAGAGCCUUCCAGUGGGACAUGCAGGAGAAAUGUAGAAAGAGGAGAUGGAGAAAGGAAAAGGAUUGAAACAAGAGGAACUCAUCAAGACACAUGACUACAAAGAUAUCAGAAUGCCAUUUAGAGAAUGAGAAGUCUAAUCAGUUUCAUUCAAAAGCCUCGCUGAGCAGCUUCAGAAUGCUCUUAAACAUCAUCAAGACGUCAAAGAGUAUCAGGCAAAAGGUCAGUACUCUGGAGGAGCAUCUUGAGAUUUCUUAGACUAGAUGUAGAGAGCUAUUGGAGCAGCAUCUAGAUAUGGAAAGUCAACUACUAACCACUAAGAUGGACAAAUCUGACAUGGCUGUAUAUGGACAAUCAUCUUAUACAAUAUCAGAACGCCAUUAAGAGAAUGAGAAGUUUAAUCAGUUUCAUUCUGAGCAAGAAGGAUGCAUCAAAAACCUCGCUGAGCAGCUUCAGAAAGCUCUUAAACAUCAUCAAGUCAUCAAAGAGUAUCAGGCAAAGCCGCUGUGAGGAAUUACAAUCACAAGUAAACAAACUGCAGAGUGAGCUUUCAGAGUCUCAGUCAUCCUUGGAAGAAAUGACUAACAAACAACUUGAAGAAGAACUAGAUACUCUAGGUACUCCAAAAUGAGAUAGCCUCAGACAGCGCCCUCUAGAGACUGGAAGAGGAGAGGGAUGAACUGACCAAUCAGGUUACAGAGGUAUCCAAAAAUCUGACCAACUUCCAGCAGCAAUUGAAGUCUGCACAAGAAUGUAAACUCCUACUCAGUGCAGACAAAGAGAAAGCGACUGCAGUCUUUAACGCAAUAAAGGACCAGAGGAAGCUGGACAAGGAUGAGCUACAGAGGGCACUAAUCAAAACCAACAAACUCAAGCAGCAACUGGCAGAGGAAAACGUGGCAGUCAAGAGGAAGAACUGAGGCAUGUCUGCAAAGAGAAUCAGGAAAUGGCUGCAGAAUUCAACUACUAAAAUCACAACCCAGACAGAGAGUGUCACAUCUCACAAGGAGUCAGCCUAAUCACUGGUGGAGAUGCACAACUUUUUUCUUUAUUAUUUUAUAUUUUAGGGAUAUCGUCAGAAUUAAGUUAGAAUUAUAUUGAGAUAUAGUUGGUGAAUCGCUCCCACUUUUGCUGUGUGGUGAAUUGCACACACUUUUGCUGUGUGGUGAAUUGCACACACUUUUUGUUGUGAGGUGAAUUGCUCACACUUUUGGGUGAAUUGCUCACACUUUUGGGUGAAUUGGUCACACAUUUUGUUGUGAGGUGAAUUGCUCACACUUUUGGGUGAGUUGCUCACACGUUUUGUUGUGAGGUGAAUUGCUCACACUUUAGGGUGAAUUGCUCACACGUUUUGUUGUGAGGUGAAUUGCUCACACUUUUAUUUGUGGUGAAUCGCUCACACAUUUUGUUGUGUGGUGAAUCGCUGACACUUUUUGUUGUGUGGUGAAUCGCUGACACUUUUUGUGAGGUUAAUCACUGACACUUUUUGGUUGUGUUGUGAAUUGCACACACUUUUUGUUGUCUGGUAAAUUGCUCACACUUGUUGUGUGGUGAAUUGCUGACUCUUUUUUGGUGGGUGAAUCGCUCACACUUGUUGUUGUGUGGUGAAUUGCUCACACUUAUUGCUGUGUGGUGAAUUGUCGCAUAUUUUAUUGUGUGGUGAAUUGCUCACACUUUUUGCUGUGUGGUGAAUCGCUCGCACAUUUUGCUGUGUGGUGAAUCACUCACACAUUUUGUUGUGUGGUGAAUCGCUCACACUUUUUGAUGUGUGGUGAGUCCGCUGACACUUUUUGUUGUGUGGUAAA